UCCGAUGGUUAUCACGUGACGGUCACUUGAACGUUUGGGACGUGGACUCAUCAAUCACGGGCCCACGUGCGGCCCAAACCCGCCGCCUCCCGCCGGGAGGUUCUGAAGAUGCGACGUGCUGUUUGUUUUUCCUCAUCGAGAGAGCUCUUCUCUCGGAGAACCAGAGGAACUUCCAUGUAAACAUCGGACGUGUGAACAUCGGAUGCAGAGAAGAAGACAAAGUAUCCUGCACUUGAUCCGCCAGCCGUCACGGACGAGAGGUCAACGGAGGUCAGCGGCCUUUUCCCAAACCAGGAAAUUAAAGUUCAUCUCCCCCGAGCGCUCAAGCACGUAAUGAACCUAAUAACCGUGAAAUGAAGUUUUGUGAUCUACUGAGAGGAGGCAAG